UACGUAGGAGGCGAGCGUUGUCCGGAAUUACUGGGCGUAAAGCGCACGUAGGCGGAUCGUUAAGUCGGGGGUGAAAUCCUGGAGCUCAACUCCAGAACUGCCUUCGAUACUGGCGAUCUUGAGUCCGGAAGAGGUGAGUGGAACUCCUAGUGUAGAGGUGGAAUUCGUAGAUAUUAGGAAGAACACCAGUGGCGAAGGCGGCUCACUGGUCCGGUACUGACGCUGAGGUGCGAAAGCGUGGGGAGCAAACAGG
rnacentral:rRNA from 1 species